rnacentral:rRNA from 1 species
CAAUAGCGUAUAUUAAAGUUGUUGCAGUUAAAAAGCUCGUAGUUGAAUUUCGGGUCCCCGCGCUCGGCGCUUCAUUGUGCCGUCGUGGUGUCCCUCCUCGCCGUAAGGCGUCCUUUACUGUGAAAAAAUUAGAGUGUUCAAAGCAGGCAAUCGCUUGAAUACAUUAGCAUGGAAUAAUAAGAUAGGAUCUUGUCUAUUUUGUUGGUUGCGGACAACGAUAAUGAUUAAUAGGGAUAGUUGGGGGUGUCCGUAUUGAGCUGUCAGAGGUGAAAUUCUUGGAUUUGCUCAAGACGAACUACUGCGAAAGCAUUUGCCAAGGAUGUUUNCAUUA